rnacentral:rRNA from 1 species
ACAACUUUCAACAAUGGAUCUCUUGGCUCUCACAUCGAUGAAGAACGCAGMGAAAUGCGAUAAGUARUGURAAUUGCAGAAUUCAGUGAAUCAUCRAAUGUUUGAACGCWUCUUGCKCUCCUUGGUAUUCCGAGGAGCAUGCCUGUUUGAGUGUCAUUAAA